rnacentral:rRNA from 1 species
AACGAACGCUGGCGGCAGGCCUAACACAUGCAAGUCGAGCGCCCCGCAAGGGGAGCGGCGGACGGGUGAGUAACGCGUGGGAAUAUGCCCUUUGCUACGGAAUAGUCUCGGGAAACUGGGGGUAAUACCGUAUACGCCCUUUGGGGGAAAGAUUUAUCGGCGAAGGAUUAGCCCGCGUUGGAUUAGGUAGUUGGUGGGGUGAUGGCCUACCAAGCCGACGAUCCAUAGCUGGUUUGAGAGGAUGAUCAGCCACACUGGGACUGAGACACGGCCCAGACUCCUACGGGAUGCAGCAGUGGGUAAUCUUAGACAAUGGGGGCAACCCUGAUCUAGCCAUGCCGCGUGAGUGAUGAAGGCCUUAGGGUUGUAAAGCUCUUUCAGCUGGGAAGAUAAUGACGGUACCAGCAGAAGAAGCCCCGGCUAACUCCGUG